AACGGCCAUACCAUGCUGAAUAUACCGGUUCUCGUUAGAUCACCGAAGUCAAGCAAGCAUCAUUGGGCGCGGUCAGUACUUGGGUGGGCGACCACCUGGGAACACCGUGUGCCGUU
rnacentral:rRNA from 1 species